UGAGACUCGGAGUGGAAGCAGAGGUGGGCUCCUGUCUAAAAGGUUCACGGCAUGGCAUCCCAAAACAACAUCAUCACUGAGUACCACAUAUGCCCCUGAGGCUAUGAACUUUCAAACCAGCUCAUAACUUUCACAAACCAUUUCUUUCCCCUUUUUGUCUUGUGCCUUCUGGUUUCAAAUUUGCCACUGUACUUUCAGGUUUAAUGUAAACGAGGACAGCAGAAACAACAAAGGGACAAAGGCAUCAAGACAGUUACAUGUGGUCCUUUCAACCCAGAACACAAAAAGUUUCCUGGAAGCCACAAUCAGUAAAGUCCCCAUCACAUCACUCUGCCAAACUUAGAAGAAAUACAGUAACAUGUUUGUUAAACCUAAGCUUCACGUCAGUACUCUGAAGAUGGAUGUCCACGGAGACAGUCGCCAGACUUCCUCGAUCCUCUUCCAGUGAAUAAAUGUCCUUUCUUUACUUUC